GGUCUACUGGCGCAAUGGUAGCGUAUCAGCCUUCUACGGAUUGCCAAGACGAAGCUGAGCUGAGGGUUGCGGGUUCGAGCCCCGCGUGGACCU